UUGCUUCAUCGUAUUUUUGCUUCUGUAGAUCUCCAUGCUCAUCUUGAUUUAUCCCAGGAGAAGGAAAGCUCAAAAGUUUAUAAUUUCCUUGAGAAGUUUAAUCCAAAUUGUAGAGAUCUUACCUCAAAAUAUUUAGGAUUUUCAAUCUUAUAGAAGCCAUAGUUAUAAAAGAGAAGAAAACAACUCAGUAAGCUACAUU
rnacentral:lncRNA from 1 species